rnacentral:rRNA from 1 species
AUUGAACGCUGGCGGCGUGCCUAAUACAUGCAAGUCGAACGCAGUGGGGACGGGUGAGUAACACGUGGGUAACCUCCCAUCAGAGGGGAUAACACUUGGAAACAGGUGCUAAACCGAUACUGAUGGAUGGACCCGCGGUGCAUUGGCUAGUGGGUGGGGAAACGGCUCACCCAGGCCACGAUGCAUAGCCGACCGGAGAGGGUGAGCGGCCAAACUGGGACUGGGACACGGCCCAGACUCUUACGGGAGGAAGCAGUAGGGAAUCUCCGGCAAUGGACGAAAGCCGGACCGAGAAACGCCGCGUGAGUGAAGAAGGUUUUCGGAUCGUAAAACUCUGUUGUUAGAGAAGCGGUAUCUAACCAGAAAGCCACGGCUAACUACGUGCCAGCCGCCGCGGUAAUAC